GAUGAACGCUGGCGGCGUGCCUAAUACAUGCAAGUCGAGCGAACAGACGAGGAGCUUGCUCCUCUGACGUUAGCGGCGGACGGGUGAGUAACACGUGGAUAACCUACCUAUAAGACUGGGAUAACUUCGGGAAACCGGAGCUAAUACCGGAUAAUAUAUUGAGCCGCAUGGUUCAAUAGUGAAAGACGGUUUUGCUGUCACUUAUAGAUGGAUCCGCGCCGCAUUAGCUAGUUGGUAAGGUAACGGCUUACCAAGGCAACGAUGCGUAGCCGACCUGAGAGGAUGAUCGGCCACACUGGAACUGAGACACGGUCCAGACUCCUACGGGAGGCAGCAGUAGGGAAUCUUCCGCAAUGGGCGAAAGCCUGACGGAGCAACGCCGCGUGAGUGAUGAAGGUCUUCGGAUCGUAAAACUCUGUUAUUAGGGAAGAACAAAUGUGUAAGUAACUAUGCACGUCUUGACGGUACCUAAUCAGAAAGCCACGGCUAACUACGUG
rnacentral:rRNA from 1 species